rnacentral:rRNA from 1 species
GCAAGUCGAACGGUAACAGGAAACAGCUUGCUGUUUCGCUGACGAGUGGCGGACGGGUGAGUAAUGUCUGGGAAACUGCCUGAUGGAGGGGGAUAACUACUGGAAACGGUAGCUAAUACCGCAUAACGUCGCAAGACCAAAGAGGGGGACCUUCGGGCCUCUUGCCAUCGGAUGUGCCCAGAUGGGAUUAGCUUGUUGGUGGGGUAACGGCUCACCAAGGCGACGAUCCCUAGCUGGUCUGAGAGGAUGACCAGCCACACUGGAACUGAGACACGGUCCAGACUCCUACGGGAGGCAGCAGUGGGGAAUAUUGCACAAUGGGCGCAAGCCUGAUGCAGCCAUGCCGCGUGUAUGAAGAAGGCCUUCGGGUUGUAAAGUACUUUCAGCGGGGAGGAAGGGAGUAAAGUUAAUACCUUUGCUCAUUGACGUUACCCGCAGAAGAAGCACCGGCUAACUCCGUGCCAGCAGCCGCGGUAAUACGGAGGGUGCAAGCGUUAAUCGGAAUUACUGGGCGUAAAGCGCACGCAGGCGGUUUGUUAAGUCAGAUGUGAAAUCCCCGGGCUCAACCUGGGAACUGCAUCUGAUACUGGCAAGCUUGAGUCUCGUAGAGGGGGGUAGAAUUCCAGGUGUAGCGGUGAAAUGCGUAGAGA